AUAUUAACUUUUUGUAUUUGUAUUGACAUUCAAAACUUUUUACGCGUCAAAAAAAUGACAGUGCACAAGUGUAUAAAAUUUGGAUUGUACGCUGCAGAGCAGACGUACGAAUUCAAUAAUGAUCCUUCCGCAGGUUCACCUACGGAAA
rnacentral:misc_RNA from 1 species